rnacentral:rRNA from 1 species
GACGAACGCUGGCGGCGUGCUUAACACAUGCAAGUCGAACGGACAGACAGAGAGCUUGCUCUCUUGAAGUUAGUGGCGAACGGGUGAGUAACGCGUAAUCAACCUGCCCUUCAGAGGGGGAUAACAACGGGAAACCGUUGCUAAUACCGCGUACGAUUCAUGAACGGCAUCGUUUAUGAAUGAAAGGUGGCCUCUAUGUAUAAGCUAUCGCUGAAGGAGGGGAUUGCGUCUGAUUAGCUAGUUGGAGGGGUAACGGCCCGCCAAGGCAAUGAUCAGUAGGCGGUCUGAGAGGAUGAACGGCGACAUUGGGACUGAGACACGGCCCAAACUCCUACGGGAGGCAGCAGUGGGGAAUCUUCCGCAAUGGACGAAAGUCUGACGGAGCAACGCCGCGUGAGCGAUGAAGGUCUUCGGAUUGUAAAGCUCUGUUAAUCGGGACGAAAGAGUUCUGCGUGAAUAAUGCAGAAAAGUGACGGUACCGGAAUAGAAAGCCACGGCUAACUACGUGCCAGCCGCCGCCGUAA